UACGAAGGGGGCUAGCGUUGCUCGGAAUCACUGGGCGUAAAGGGUGCGUAGGCGGGUCUUUAAGUCAGGGGUGAAAUCCUGGAGCUCAACUCCAGAACUGCCUUUGAUACUGAGGAUCUUAAGUUCGGGAGAGGUGAGUGGAACUGCGAGUGUAGAGGUGAAAUUCGUAGAUAUUCGCAAGAACACCAGUGGCGAAGGCGGCUCACUGGCCCGAUACUGACGCUGAGGUGCGAAAGCGUGGGGAGCAAACAGG
rnacentral:rRNA from 1 species